AUCAAAUCAAAUGGUGUUUGUCACACGCCGAAUACAACAGGUGUGGACUUUACUGUGAAAUGCUUACUUUCGAGACCUUUCCCAACAAUGCAGAGUAAAAAAUUUAGACAAAUGUGCACAAAAAAAUGUUAAGUAAAUAGUAACACAAUAAAAUAACAAUAAUGGGACUGUAUACAUGGAGAACUGGUACCAAGUCAAUAUGCAGGGGUACAAGGUGGUGGAGGUGAUUGAGGUAAUAUGUACAUGUUGGUAGAGGUAAAGUGACUAGGCAAUCAGGAUAGAUAAUAAAGAGGGUAGCAGCAGUGUUGGUAGUUGAGGUAAUAUGUACAUGUUGGUAGAGGUAAAGUGACUAGGCAAUCAGGAUAGAUAAUAAAGAGGGUAGCAGCAGUGUUGGUAGUUGAGGUAAUAUGUACAUGUUGGUAGAGGUAAAGUGACUAGGCAAUCAGGAUAGAUAAUAAAGAGGGUAGCAGCAGUGUUGGUAGUUGAGGUAAUAUGUACAUGUUGGUAGAGGUAAAGUGACUAGGCAAUCAGGAUAGAUAAUAAAGAGGGUAGCAGCAGUGUUGGUAGUUGAGGUAAUAUGUACAUGUUGGUAGAGGUAAAGUGACUAGGCAAUCAGGAUAGAUAAUAAAGAGGGUAGCAGCAGUGUUGGUAGUUGAGGUAAUAUGUACAUGUUGGUAGAGGUAAAGUGACUAGGCAAUCAGGAUAGAUAAUAAAGAGGGUAGCAGCAGUGUUGGUAGUUGAGGUAAUAUGUACAUGUUGGUAGAGGUAAAGUGACUAGGCAAUCAGGAUAGAUAAUAAAGAGGGUAGCAGCAGUGUUGGUAGUUGAGGUAAUAUGUACAUGUUGGUAGAGGUAAAGUGACUAGGCAAUCAGGAUAGAUAAUAAAGAGGGUAGCAGCAGUGUUGGUAGUUGAGGUAAUAUGUACAUGUUGGUAGAGGUAAAGUGACUAGGCAAUCAGGAUAGAUAAUAAAGAGGGUAGCAGCAGUGUUGGUAGUUGAGGUAAUAUGUACAUGUUGGUAGAGGUAAAGUGACUAGGCAAUCAGGAUAGAUAAUAAAGAGGGUAGCAGCAGUGUUGGUAGUUGAGGUAAUAUGUACAUGUUGGUAGAGGUAAAGUGACUAGGCAAUCAGGAUAGAUAAUAAAGAGGGUAGCAGCAGUGUUGGUAGUUGAGGUAAUAUGUACAUGUUGGUAGAGGUAAAGUGACUAGGCAAUCAGGAUAGAUAGUCUGGGUGGCCAUUUGACAACCUGUUUAGCAGUCUUAUGGCUUGGGGGUAGAAGCUGUUGAGGAGGCUUUUGGUCCCAGACUUGGUGCUCCGGUACCUCUGGCCAUGCGGCAGCAGUGAGAACAGUCUAUGACUUGGGUGGCUGGGGCCUUCCUCUGACACCGCCUGGUAUAGAGGUCCUGGAUGGCAGAGAGUUCAGCCUCUUCACCACUGUGUUGGUGUGUUUGGUCCUCAUUGAUGUGGACACCGAGGAACUUGAAGCUCUUGACCCACACUGCUACAGCCCCAUCGAUGCUAAACCCCUCCGUUUCCUGUAGUCAACAAUCACCUCCUUUGUCUUACUGAUGUUGAGGGAGAGGUUGUUGUCCUGGCACCACACUGCCAGGUCUCUGACCUCCUCGCUGUUGGCUGUCUCAUCAUCAAAGGUGUUGGAGUAGUGCGUAGCCAUGCAGUUGUUGUUGAACAGGGGGGACUUACCCCUAAAGGGCCCCUGUGUUGAGGGUCAGCGUGCCGAAUGUGUUGUUGCUUACCCUCACCACCUGGGGGCAGCCCGUCAGGAAGUCCAGGAUCCAGUUUCAGAGGGAGGUAUUCAGUCCCAGGGUCGUUCGUUUAGUGAUGAGCUUGGAGGGCACUGGUGGUGUUGAAUGCUGCUCUGUAGUCAAUGAAAAGCAUUCUCACUUAGGUGUUCCUCUUGUCCAGGUGGGAAAGGGCAGUGUGGAAUGCAAUAGACAUUGCGACAUAUGUGGAUCUGUUGCGGCGGUAUGCGAAUUGGAGUGGGUCUAGGGUUUCUGGGAUAAUGGUGUUGAUGUGAACCAUUUCAAGGCUUACAGAUGUGAGCGUUCUUGGGCACAGGGACUAUAGUGGUCUGCUUGAAACAUGUACAGUACCAGGCAAAAGUGUGGACAUGCCUACUCAUUCAAGGGUUUUUCUUUAUUUGUACUAUUUUCUACAUUGUAGAAUAAUAGUGAAGACAUCAACACUAUUAAAUAACAACUAUGGAAUCAUGUAAUACCCAAAAAGUGUUAAACAAAUAAAAAUAUAUUUUAUAUUUGAGAUUCUUUAAAGUAGCCACUUUUGCCAUGAUGACAGCUUUGCAUACUCUUGGCAUUCUCUCAACCAGCUUCAUGAGGUAGUCACCUGGAAUGCAUUUCAAUUAACAGAUGUGCCUUAUUAAAAGUUAUUUUGUGGAAUUUCUUUCCUUCUUAAUGCGUUUGAGCCAGCCGGUUGUGUUGUGGUAUACAGAAGAUAGCCCUAUUUGUUCAAAUUGUCACGCCCUGAUCUGUUUCACCUGUCCCUGUGAUUGUCUCCACCCCAUCCAGGUGUCGCUUAUUUCCCCCAGUGUAUUUAUCCCUGUGUUUCCUGUCUCUCUGUGCCAGUUUGUCUUGUAUGUUUUCCAAGUCAACCAGCGUUUCUCCCGUUCUCCUGCUUUUUGCAUUCUCCUUUUUCUAGUCCUCCCAGUUUUGACCCUUGCCUGUUUCUGGACUCUGUACCCGCCUUCCUGACCUUUCUGCCUGCCUUGACCAUGAGCCUGUCUGCUCGU